CCAAGCUUUCCGUCUGAAGUCUUUCACCAGGACCCAGUCUCCAACCUUCAGCUUAUGGAUGGCACCCUCUAUUUUAGAUGGAAGAGCUUCCUUGACCUGUGAACAAAUAGACUGGACAGUUUUGCAUUGUUCAGACAUACAGGCUGCCAUCGUGCUGUGGGGAUCUGUAAGGAAGUGUGGCAGUCAGUCUCAUAGGAAGACCAGUCAACACUUCCAGUGGGCUCAGACCUGUUC